UACGAAGGGGGCUAGCGUUGCUCGGAAUCACUGGGCGUAAAGGGUGCGUAGGCGGGUUUUUAAGUCAGGGGUGAAAUCCUGGAGCUCAACUCCAGAACUGCCUUUGAUACUGAAGAUCUUGAGUUCGGGAGAGGUGAGUGGAACUGCGAGUGUAGAGGUGAAAUUCGUAGAUAUUCGCAAGAACACCAGUGGCGAAGGCGGCUCACUGGCCCGAUACUGACGCUGAGGAACGAAAGCUAGGGGAGCAAACGGG
rnacentral:rRNA from 1 species